rnacentral:tRNA from 1 species
GACAGUUUAGCCGAGUGGUCCAAGGCGCUGGCUCUAGGCGCCAGUCCGAAAGAGCGUGGGUUCGAACCUUACAGCUGUCA